UGCACCGAGAGGAACGGAGUUCUGCAUCAGUAUCACGUUGCAGUUUUAGCCGCGAAUAUUAAAAGCGAAAUCGCAUCCCGCAGAGAUACUCUUUUCCAGAGUCUAGUGAAGAGCACAAAUUGCAUUAAUUACAUUGUGGUUUUAUCAUCUAUGUCACGCAGAUGAGAUGGAGGCUUCCAAUUUUGCAACAUUUCAGUUUCAGCUAUCUCAAAUAAUUCUGGCGAAGACUGAUGGGAUUGCUGGUUUCAGAUACGUGUCGUUUUGGUACUUGAUCUUCACCGUCAUUGAGGGUAAGACUACCGUUCCUUUCCUGGAUGACUGUAUACUGCGUAGGAGCAAAGCGAGACUCGCCUUUCGCGCGUUUGCGCCGUUCGAUGAUUACCGUGUCGGCUAAUGGAUUUGACCGGUCUCGCAGAAAGAUACCUAGACCUGUAGUCAACGAUUACGAGGAUUGAACUUGAGUUCAGUGGACAUUUCUACAGAUAUUUCUAUUUCUAUCGAUAAUACAGGGUGAUUAUAUGCCACACAUCUCCCCUCUACUCAAAGAAAAUAAAUGCAUCAAUCUUUUUUUUUUUUAUUUUUUUCAUUAGUUUGUCGAAGCAAUAAACACAUUCACCUUUUUUUGUUUAGGAAA